rnacentral:rRNA from 1 species
AGGGGGGGCGUCGGAGUUCUGGGCGUAAGGGCAUGUAGGCGGUCUGCCAAGUUCGGAGUGACAGUCACCAGCUUAACUGGUGAAGGACUGCGAAAACUGGCGGACUUGAGAGCGAAAGAGGGACACAGAAUUCCGGGUGGAGCAGUGACAUGCGUAGAGAUCCGGAGGAACACCAAAGGCGAAGGCAGUGUCCUGGCUCGUUUCUGACGCUGAGGUGCGAAAGCUAGGGGAGCGAACGGGAUUAGAUACCCCGGUAGUCCUAGCCGUAAACGAUGACCACUAGGCGUGGGAGGGAUCGACCCCUUCCGUGUCGCAGUUAACACACUAAGUGGUCCGCCUGGGGAGUACGGUCGCAAGACUAAAACUCAAAGGAAUUGACGGGGACCCGCACAAGCAGCGGAGCGUGUGGUUUAAUUCGAUGCGACGCGAAGAACCUUACCAGGGCUUGACAUGUACCUGACCAGCGUAGAAAUACGGGUUCCUUCGGGACAGGUGCACAGGUGCUGCAUGGCUGUCGUCAGCUCGUGCCGUGAGGUGUUGGGUUAAGUCCCGCAACGAGCGCAACCCUCACCCGAUGUUGCCAACGGUUCGGCCGGGCACUCUUCGGGAACUGCCGGCGAAGAGCUGGAGGAAGGGGGGGAUGACGUCAAGUCCGUAUGCCCCUUAUGCCCAGGGCUACACACAUGCUACAAUGGUCGGUACAGAGGGUUGCCAACCCGCGAGGGGGAGCCAAUCCCAGAAAGCCGAUCUCAGUUCGGAUUGCAGGCUGCAACUCGCCUGCAUGAAGUAGGAAUCGCUAGUAAGCGCAGAUCAGCAGGCUGCGCUGAAUACGUUCCCGGGCCUUGUACACACCGCCCGUCACACCACGAAAGCCAGCUGUACCAGAAGUCACUGCGCCAACCGCAAGGAGGCAGGUGCCCAAGGUAUGGUUGGUGAUUGGGGUGAAGUCGUAACAAGGUAAC